CUCAAGAUGCAUUAAAGAUUUAAACGUGAGACCUAAAACCAGAAAAAUCCUAGAAGAAAACCUAGGCAACACCAUUGAGGACGUAAGCAUGGGCAAAGACUUCAUGACUAAAACACCAAAAGAAAUGGCAACAAAAGCCAAAAUUGACAAAAGGUUUCCUUAAUGACAACAAAAAAGGGAGUAAUCCUACCCACUGUAAGAGUCAUGACUCUUGAUUGCAGCUGACAGAAACUCAUGACAGCCUGCUUUAGAUGAAGGGGGAGAGAAGGACUGGAAGAAUCUUGGAGUUGGGAAUGUCACACGUAAUUGAAGGAAGAACAAGAAAACUAUAGCAGCUGCUCCCAACCCCAGAACCUUUGCUGUCUUGGGACGGAUCACCACUGCAAGAGGGGAAGUUGCUACUGUGAUGAAUUCUGCCAUGUGGCACCAGACUGCCACCCAGACCACAGUGUCCUCUGCAACCCUGGUAACUCACAUACAGGCCCGAUUCCACCGACAGCAAAGCUGGAUGCUAUGGCUGGCAGAGGCAAACCCUUUGCCUGCACUUCAGGCCAAAGCCGGGAUGUGGCCUAGAUGGUUCCUAAGGUCCCUGACAAUCCUGAGAUCUUGCAUCUUGUCUAUUUCAGGUCAAAGGUGCCUACAUGCUCCUUCUAGCUUUGUUUCCCUGAUGUUCCUUGCCACCUGCUACUCCUCUCUGAGCUA
rnacentral:misc_RNA from 1 species